rnacentral:rRNA from 1 species
AUUGAACGCUGGCGGCAUGCCUUACACAUGCAAGUCGAGCGGCAGCGCGGGGGCAACCCUGGCGGCGAGCGGCGCACGGGUGAGUAAUACAUCGGAACGUGUCCUUUCGUGGGGAUAACCAGUCGAAAGACUGGCUAAUACCGCAUGAGAUCUCACGAUGAAAGCGGGGGACCCGAGGGUAACUUCGGGCCUCGCGCGAUUGGAGCGGCCGAUGUCGGAUUAGCUAGUUGGCGGGGUAAAAGCCCACCAAGGCGACGAUCCGUAGCUGGUUUGAGAGAACGACCAGCCACACUGGGACUGAGACACGGCCCAGACUCCUACGGAGGCAGCAGUGGGGAAUUUUGGACAAUGGGGCAACCUGAUCCAGCCAUGCCGCGUGUGUGAAGAAGGCCUGG